GACGAACGCUGGCGGCGUGCUUAACACAUGCCAGUCGAACGGAAAGGCCUGCUUUCCCUUGUGGAUUGCGGGUACUCGAGUGGCGAACGGGUGAGUAACACGUGAGUGAUCUGCCCCCAACUUGGGUAUAAGCCUGGGAAACUGGGUCUAAUUCCCGAUAGGACUGCAGGGUGGUGCCUGUGGUGGAAAACGAUUUUCUAGUGGUUGGGGAUGAGCUCGCGGCCUAUCAGCUUGUUGGUGGGGUAAUGGCCUACCAAGGCGGCGACGGGUAGCCGGCCUGGGAGGGUGGACGGCCACAUUGGGACUGGGAUACGGCCCAGACUCCGACGGGAGGCAGCAGUGGGGAAUAUUGCACAAUGGGCGGAAGCCUGAUGCAGCGACGCCGCGUGGGGGAUGACGGCCUUCGGGUUGUAAACUCCUUUCGACCGCGAGGAAGCCACCUGGUUGGAAGGGUGGUGACGGUAGUGGUAGAAGAAGCACCGGCUAACUACGUG
rnacentral:rRNA from 1 species